UCACCUCUCUGUUCACCCCUCUGUUCACCCCUCUGUUCAGCCCUCUGUGUCCCUCUGUGCUCCUCUCCCCUCUUCUUCUGCCGCUUCCUCUGGAUACUUCACCUCUUACAACCAACUACAACCAACUUCCUCGACGGUUCCUGCUCAAGUUUCCUGCAAAGACUCUUGCUUCUCCUCCACCCUUGAAGCUGUGCCAGCGUUCCACUCGCUGCCCAUCCAAGUGUGAGAGUGAUCGAGAACUUCUCCAAAGUUGCACGUCGCCCUCGUCCUACAGCGGUCUGCCAAGCCAGAGCCUCCUUCAGGAACGGCCCAGUCACACCACGUGAUCACAGCCAGCGGCCGUGACGAGCACGCGAGUCCAACUUCCAACAACCUUCCGCUGCCUGGAGUGUGUCAUUAAGGCGACCACUCUAGAAGGUUGUUCAGACCGGUGAAUCACCUGGCACGAGAGAAAGAUACGCCUUCGGUCUUACGCCGCUCUCUGCCAGCUACGAUCACCCCGUCUGCGACGAAAGAUCCACCGCGGUCCGGAAGACGAUCCGAGAGUGCCAUCGACGCCUGAAGCUGCGUGUCCUCAUCACCUCCAAGUCACCUCGCUGAGAACCAGGACGCCUCCCUCCAAAGCCGCCUGCCUCCUCCCUCACCUCCUGACCGACCUUCUGCAUCUACUCAUCACCCUCUCAUCCAUCCAUCCAUCCAUCCCAUUCAUCCCUCCAUUCAUCGCCAAAGCAACUAAAGUCUGGACCUGUGAAUGUUAUGGUGGUUGUGAGGUCCAAACCUGCAUCAACUUGUGGAAUUAGGUUAAAAGGGGAAGACUGUCAGCGACACCAAUUGAUACUCAACGGAGGGCAGUUUGACCGCGGUGUGCAGCUGUAUUCAUAGGUGUCAUUGAAAACCACUCAUGCAGCAAGAGAGCAUCUUCACUCAUAAACAGCGUACGGUACACAAACAAAUGCUCACUUCACUGAUGGUGGCUGCAACAGUCUGGAUCAUCGCCAACGCACCAGUGCGGCUGCUCAUUGAACGCCGGUUUGUGCUACCAGUGGCGUCACGUGGUUUCCCCAUUACACUAAAACUUAUUAUAAAAUUAUUAUGAUCGUUGUUCUCCCUAGCUGCUUUUAUCAUCUUAAAAGGCUCCAGUUGCAAUAAUUGACAUUAGUGAUUUUUUUGUAGUUUAGCAGAGCAGUUUGACUGAGGCAGUCAUUUUGGCAAAUUUAAAUUGUUAUUCAUUUGAAAUUACAAACAUUUUAUUUUGAUGUAAAGCUACUCUAUGGGUAUGUGAGACUAGAUUACUGAAGAGCACAAACACCACGCAGGUAUGAUGCGACCAUAUGCUCACCUAUUGUCACGGUCUGUUUUGUUUGUGCUUUUGUAUGUGCAGAUCGUCCAUGCUCCUAUGCUGGUCAAGUUGACUUCUCUUGCUCUCCUCAUGUUCCCUGGUGUUUUCUCCAGAGCUUGGGCUUUUGGUACUGUGAGUGUAUUUUUCAACCUCCUAGUGAUUUUUGUUCAUUUUAUUCUCUGAUUCCUGUAAAGUGUUGAGGUUUUCCACUAUGUGCAUUGUCUGUUUUUUGUGUGAGACUUGUGACCACCACAUUAUCCUCUGUUUAUUUCUACCAGCGUGUUGUAUUCCGCUGAGGUUUCUGUUACAGUUGCCAGGUUCCCCUGGUCUGCACAUUGAGGAAAGCUUUAAAUAGUUUUCAUCAGAAAGGAAAUAUACUGCUAUCAGCAUUCACCCAUCCCGGUGAUGGACUGGUCAUGGCCGGUCAGGUCAGAGCACGCAUUUGACAGGUGCAUCACAGCAAUAGCCUGGUGCUUCCCAACAGGGAGCUGAGAGCUUUGAGGUUCCACCAGACCCUUGCAGGGACUGACUCACCUACACCGUGUUCAGGACAGCUCAGAGAGUUUGACAGGUGGAAAUGAAAGACCUGAUGUCAAUUCUUCUCCCAGAGAACCUCUCUAAAUGAAAUUCACCCCUCACAACAGCGGGUGCACACAAAUAGACACAAAUGCUGAACCACUCAAUUUGAAAUUGCAGUUGGAUAAGUGUGUAGACAUGGACUCAUCCAUGGCGUCCACAGGUAUAGAGCUUGUCGUGUGGCAUCACUACAUACCACUCCCAGACAACUGAGCUCCUCACCCAAUGUAAAAAUAAGAGUGUGGCCACUUUGCAAAGAAAACUUAUUUGUUCUGCUUUAAAGUAGUGAAGUUCAAAAAAACAAUCCAGGCUUGUUUCCACCAGACGAAAAUCCAACAGCUAAAGGGAAUAGAUUGAUUAUAUUGUGUGAUACUAAUGAAGUACAGGGGACACAUGGUGCAUGUGUCUCUGCAACGUGAAUAUGUCUUAAUCAAACAUUUGCAGCAUGUGCAGAAUUAUUUACAGAUUUGCAGAAGUUGACCAAUCGAUGGAAAAACGGGCGUCUGCACUCAGGAUGACCCGCUGACCAGACCAAAAAGGAGAACAGCAACCGCCACCUCGAAACCGCCAACACCCAAGUGGAAAGUUACUGAAGACAACACCUUGAAUAGUAUAAGAAGGAGAAGUGGUCAUCUCGAUGUGUGCUUCUACUGGUGUCUGACCUGUAAGUCACGACUCUCGUUGUGCUGCAGACUCUACCCAGAGAAGAGCCCGGAUCGAUCUGUAUUUUGCCUUGGCUGAUUGUUUGCUACGCUGAGAAUAAACCAGACUGAUUAUUGGUAUGUUGAAGUUUCUUUAUUGACAACCACCUGGA